rnacentral:rRNA from 1 species
GAUGAACGCUGGCGGCGUGCCUAAUACAUGCAAGUCGAGCGAACAGACGAGAAGCUUGCUCCUCUGACGUUAGCGGCGGACGGGUGAGUAACACGUGGAUAACCUACCUAUAAGACUGGGAUAACUUCGGGAAACCGGAGCUAAUACCGGAUAAUAUUUUGAACCGCAUGGUUCAAUAGUGAAAGACGGUCUUGCUGUCACUUAUAGAUGGAUCCGCGCUGCAUUAGCUAGUUGGUAAGGUAACGGCUUACCAAGGCAACGAUGCAUAGCCGACCUGAGAGGGUGAUCGGCCACACUGGAACUGAGACACGGUCCAGACUCCUACGGGAGGCAGCAGUAGGGAAUCUUCCGCAAUGGGCGAAAGCCUGACGGAGCAACGCCGCGUGAGUGAUGAAGGUCUUCGGAUCGUAAAACUCUGUUAUUAGGGAAGAACAUAUGUGUAAGUAACUGUGCACAUCUUGACGGAACCUAAUCAGAAAGCCACGGCUAACUACGUG